ensembl:lncRNA
GUCUGUACUGUGUGUGUGUGUGUGUGUGUCUGUGUGGUGGUCAGUGUAAUGACUACUGUACUGGUCAGUGUACUGUAGUCUCUAAGACUCACCACAGAGUGAGACUGGUACCUGCCGACAGGGACUGAGAGAUAUCGGUCUCCCUGUGCGAUGGUUCUAUACAAAACACUAACGUUCAGAAGAGACUUUGUGUGUGUGUGAGAGAGAGAGAGGUCAGUGUGUGAGAGAGAGAGUGAGGUCAGUGUGUGAGAGAGAGGGUGAGGUCAGUGUGUGUGUGUGAGAGAGAGGGUGAGGUCAGUGUGUGUGUGUGUCUGUGUGGUGGUCAGUGUAAUGACUACUGUACUGGUCAGUGUACUGUAGUCUCUAAGACUCACCACAGAGUGAGACUGGUACCUGACAGGGACUGAGAGAUAUCGGUCUCCCUGUGCGAUGGUUCUAUACAAAACACUAACGUUCAGAAGAGACUUUGUGUGUGUGUGAGAGAGAGAGAGGUCAGUGUGUGAGAGAGAGAGUGAGGUCAGUGUGUGAGAGAGAGUGAGGUCAGUGUGUGUGUGUGAGAGAGAGGGUGAGGUCAGUGUGUGUGUGUGAGAGAGAGAGGUCAGUGUGUGUGAGAGAGAGAGAGUGAGGUCAGUGUGUGUGUGUGAGAGAGAGAGAGAGAGGUCAGUGUGUGUGUGUGAGAGAGAGAGGUCAGUGAGAGAGUGAGGUCAGUGUGUGUGGGUGAGAGAGAGAGGUCUGUGUGAGAGCGAGAGAGAGAGGUCCUUGAAUUGAAUUGAGAGUUCAGUGUGAGAGAGAGAGAGAGAGUCAGUGUGUGUGAGAGAGAGAGAGAGAGGUCAGUGUGUGUGUGAGAGAGAGAGAGAGGUCAGUGUGUGUGUGAGAGAGAGAGAGAGGUCAGUGUGUGUGUGAGAGAGAGAGAGGGGUCAGUGUGUGUGUGAGAGAGAGAGAGGGGUCAGUGUGUGUGUGUGAGAGAGAGAGAG